rnacentral:misc_RNA from 1 species
AGGUAUAUUAGGGGGAGGGGGUUGCUCCGAGAGGACCCUCCACGGUGGGAUGGGAUAAUCAAGGUAUGGAUGUUCUGAGCCCUAGACACGGGUCCCCCUCGUGUCACAGCCUCGGUUAGGACCCUAUGUUACGUUCCAAACGUCAGGGUAGCAGAGGCAACCGGACCUGGGUUACAGUUGGGUAAGAAAAGGUACCAGAUUUGUGGGACGAAUAAUGCAAACGGACUAAACCUGGCCUCGGGUUUGAGCGAGGCUGGGUGGACCGGUAAGGGAAACCUCAAACAC